GUAUGUAAUUUUUAUGCCCCACCUACGAUAGUAGAGGGGCAUUAUGUUUUCUGGUCUGUGCGUCCGUUCGUUCGUUCGUUCGUCCGUCUGUCCCGCUUCAGGUUAAAGUUUUUGGUCGAGGUAGUUUUUGAUGAAGUUGAAGUCCAAUCGACUUCAAACUUGGUACACAUGUUCCCUAUGAUAUGAUCUUUCUAAUUUUAAUGCCAAAUUAGAGAUUUUACCCCAAUUUCACGGUCCACUGAACAUAGAAAAUGAUAGUGCGAGUGGGGCAUUCGUGUACUGAGGACACAUUCUUGUUUUGUAAUAUUUCAAAUCCCUGA
rnacentral:lncRNA from 1 species